rnacentral:rRNA from 1 species
GUCGCUGGCUUUCGCUGUGCACGUCUUUCUUUUCGUCGACCUUUCUCUUACUCUCACACCUGUGCACACACUGUAGGUCCUCGAAAGAGGAUCUAUGUUUUCAUCAUCACACACACUGCAUGUCUAGAAUGUAUCACGAUCGUCGACCAGCCUUGCGGUCGGGUGGCGGUCAAAUGAAUAAAUACAACUUUCAGCAACGGAUCUCUUGGCUCUCGCAUCGAUGAAGAACGCAGCGAAUUGCGAUAAGUAAUGUGAAUUGCAGAUUUUCAGUGAAUCAUCGAAUCUUUGAACGCACCUUGCGCUCCUUGGUAUUCCGAGGAGCAUGCCUGUUUGAGUGUCAUGUAAUUCUCAACCACGUCUCGAUUGAUUUCGAGGCAUGGCUUGGACUUGGGGGCUGCCGGUGGCGAAAGCUGUCGGCUCUCCUGAAAUGCAUUAGCAACGGACAGCAAUGUCUGACGUGCACGGCCUUGACGUGAUAAUGAUCGUCGUCGCUGGAGCGUCGGACGUGCACACGAGUCCGUUUGCUUCGAAUCCUAUGGACUUGAGACUUGGACAUUUCGAGAGAAGCGUCAGCUACUAGUCGGUCGUGAGGCCGGCGAACGUGGGCUUGCUCGGAGGUCGGAGUCCCUCGUC